CUGACAUAAGACGAGGACCCGACAAGAGACAAAGACAACAGCUUCCUCUGAGCUACUGUCAGGUAAAACCAAGAUGGCGGCRAACCCCCGCUCUCUGCUCCAGUGAGUCAUCACGAUGAGCGGCGUCACGCGUCCUCCGCCCAACGCAGCAGAUGAGGCGUGCGAAGGACUGAACUCUUUUAUCCCCCAGAAGCAGAUAAUUAAUUAACUGCAGCUCCGGUUAGCUGCUCCACUUCAGGCUGCAGGUUUUGCAGAUCUGUUGGCACCGUUUUCUAGAUUCUAGCUCUAGAAUAUGACAGUUGGAGCAGCUCUGUUGUUCUUUUUCUAGAGUUUUCUUAAUUUUUUGUUGWUUUAUUUAUUGCAUGUUUGGACAAUUAUUCCCUCUGGAUCUGGAUGCUGAGCAGCUAGAAAGAUUUGUUUUGUUUUGUUUAUGUCUUUACUUUUGGAUAGAUAUGAUGCGUUACCACGGCAACGGGUGUUUUUACAACUGGGAACAGCUGAUUAACAUAACAAARGCUCAGAUAAUGUCUGAGGAGUUGAAAAUGAGGCAGAGAGAAGGAGGAAGGUGAAACCAUCAGAUGAUCGAUUCCCCUACUCCAACGUCUCUCUGGCAAAAGCAAAGGAGGCGGGUCAGCAGAGCGUCCAGGGCGUGUUGCAGUGGAAUAUCAUCUACUGAGCUGUUAGCAUGUCACGCAGCAGCAUAUAUAUAUAUAUCUUUGUGUG